GUGCUCGCUUUGGCAGCACAUAUAUUAAAAUUGGAACAAUACAGAUAAGAUUAGCAUGGCCCCUGCGCAAUGAUGACACGCAAAUCCGUGAAGUGUUCCAUAUUUUU
rnacentral:snRNA from 1 species